rnacentral:lncRNA from 1 species
CAAACUAUAGCCUCAUACUACCUGAGUGCAAAGGAAAAGAAAAAUUCCAUAUUAUUUCAAUCACUUCUUAAAUCACCCUCAGAGCCAACACAAAUGUACAGCACACAAGCAUACACCUGUGAAGGACUUUUUUAUCUUGAGUCCAAGUUUCUGAGCACCAGUUCUGAGCACUACUUGUCUCUGUUGGACCCAAAAACCCUUGAUGUAGAUGAAGGCUUCUGAGCACAGGUUCCAAGACAAGGUUUGCCAGACCAAUCGCUUAUUUAACCAAAAAUAUUUUUUUUCCUUUUCUUUUCUUACACAUCUUAAGUUUUACUUCCCAGUGAAGUGAGAGGUGACUCUAGCAUACUAAAGACACAGGAAUUAGUCACAUCAGGUGCACUUAAGUGUACUAAGCACAAGAAUUCUUUAAAACAUUAAAAACUUUGUUGUAAUAUACACUUGACUUAUAGACUGAUUUUUUGACAUUUUCUGACCCUCAGUUUGCAUGUGAAAUUAAUAUAUCUAUUUUUCAAAUACUCAAACCAGGCUGACUAAAGAUUAUUGUAGAUUUUUAUGAUUAUAGGACUACAUUGUUAUUUUAAUUUUCCAAAACUAUUACAGAUUACUGGGAGAGGCCAUAACAGAAAACAAAUUACUAAGGAAACUCUUAACUGUUUGGUGCUUUCAGCUCAUAUGGAAAUACAAAUGUUGUGUGUUCAUGAGAAUAGGGUAGGCAUAUUUAGCAUGAAAUUAAUAUUCUUUUGAGGUA